ensembl:snRNA U6 U6 spliceosomal RNA
GUGCUCGCUUCGGCAGCACAUAUACUAAAAUUGGAACGAUACAGAGAAGAUUAGCAUGGCCCCUGUACAAGGAGAAAUUAAGAAAAAUCUUGUAGAUGCCCUU